rnacentral:rRNA from 1 species
UUCCAACGGUACAAGAUGAGCAUGCGUCCCAUUAGCUAGUUGGUGUGGUAACGGCAUACCAAGGCAACGAUGGGUAGGGGUCCUGAGAGGGAGAUCCCCCACACUGGUACUGAGACACGGACCAGACUCCUACGGGAGGCAGCAGUGAGGAAUAUUGGUCAAUGGGCGCAAGCCUGAACCAGCCAUGCCGCGUGCAGGAUGACGGUCCUAUGGAUUGUAAACUGCUUUUGUACAGGAAGAAACCCUCCCUUGUAAGGGAGCUUGACGGUACUGUAAGAAUAAGGAUCGGCUAACUCCGUGCCAGCAGCCGCGGUAAUACGGAGGAUCCAAGCGUUAUCCGGAAUCAUUGGGUUUAAAGGGUCCGUAGGCGGUUUUAUAAGUCAGUGGUGAAAUCUGGUCGCUCAACGAUCAAACGGCCAUUGAUACUGUAAGACUUGAAUUACUUGGAAGUAACUAGAAUAUGUAGUGUAGCGGUGAAAUGCUUAGAGAUUACAUGGAAUACCGAUUG